rnacentral:rRNA from 1 species
UCGAGAUUAGAGUUUGAUCCUGGCUCAGGAUGAACGCUGGCGGCAUGAUUAAGGCAUGCAAGUCGAACGCUUCUAUAUGCGAUUACAUCAAGUAUAGAGGAGUGGCAAACGGGUGCGUAACACAUUGGUAACCUUCCCCUCAGACGCGAAUAACCUUUCGAAAGGAGGGCUAAUACGCGAUAACAAGAAAAUGCAUAAGUUUUUUCUUUAAAGAUUUAUCACUGAGGGAUGGGCCUAUGGCCUAUCAGCUAGUUGGUGGGGUAAUGGCCUACCAAGGCGAUGACGGGUAGCGGGUGUGAGAGCACGACCCGCCUCACUGGGACUGAGACACGGCCCAGACACCUACGGGUGGCUGCAGUCAUGAAUAUUCGGCAAUGCACGAAAGUGUGACCGAGCGAUGCCGCGUGCAGGAUGAAGAUCUUCGGAUCGUAAACUGCUUUUAUUAGGGAAGAACAAAUGACGGUACCUAAAGAAUAAGAGGUUGCUAACUCUGUGCCAGCAGCAGCGGUAAUACAGAGACCUCAAGCGUUAUCCGGAUUUAUUGGGUGUAAAGCGUGCGAAGGCUGCUUAUUCAGUCAGCGGUUAAAGACCGAAGCUCAACUUCGGAAAAGCUACUGAUACUGAUAGGCUAGAGUCUGGGGGAGGUAAGCGGAAUUGCCGGUGUAGGGGUAAAAUCCGUUGAUAUCGGCAAGAACACCAAAUGCGAAGGCAGCUUACUACUACAGCACUGACGCUGUUGCACGAAAGCGUGGGGAUCAAAGAGGAUUAGAUACCCUCGUAGUCCACGCCCUAAACUAUGAAUACUAGAUUUUGGGAGUAUCGACCCUUCCAGAGUCGUUUAAAAAAGCAAACGCGUUAAGUAUUCCACCUGGGAAGUACGGCCGCAAGGCUAAAACUCAAAGGAAUUGACGGGGACCCGCACAAGCGGUGGAGCAUGUGGUUUAAUUCGACAGUAAACGAGUAACCUUACCAGGGCUUGAACUCCCUAGUACUCGGGGUAAUUCCUGAGGUGCCGCAAGGAGCUAGGUGAGAGGCGCUGCAUGGUUGUCGUCAGCUCGUGUCGUGAGAUGUACGGUUAAGUCCGGUAACGAGCGCAACCCUUAUCCUGUGUUAGAAAUGUCACAGGAGACUGCCAGUGAUAAGCUGGAGGAAGGUGGGGAUGACGUCAAAUCAGCAUGGCCCUUACGUCCUGGGCUACACACGUGCUACAAUGGUCGGUACAAUGGGUUGCUAAGUCGCAAGAUGGAGCUAAUCCCAACAAAACCGAUCUCAGUUCAGAUUGAGGUCUGCAACUCGACCUCAUGAAGCCGGAAUCGCUAGUAAAUGCGUAUCAUCUAUGGCGCAUUGAAUACGUUCUCGGGUCUUGUACACACCGCCCGUCAAGGCAAGGGAGCUGGUAAUACCCGAACAACGCUGUAGGGCGUUGGAAGGUAGGACUGGUGACAGGGCUUAAGUCGUAACAAGGUAACCAUCUCUAGAGGUCCCCCGGG